AACGAACGCUGGCGGCAGGCCUAACACAUGCAAGUCAAACGGAUGUAGCAAUACAUUAGUGGCGCACGGGUGCGUCACCCGUGGGAAUGUACCCUAGGGUAAGGAAUAGCGACUGGAAACGGUAAUUAAUACCCUAUACUGACUCCGGUCCAAAGAUUUAUAGCCCUGGGAUUAGCCCGCGCCUGAUAAGGUAGUUGGUAGGGUAAUCGCAUUCCAAGCCUACAAGCAGUAGCUGGUCCGAGAGGAUGUUCAGUCACACUGGGACUGCGACACGGCCCGGGCUCCUACGGGAGGCAGCAGUGAGGAAUAUUGGACAAUGGGGGAAACCCUGAUCCAGCCAUGCCGCGUGAGUGAAGAAGGCCUAAGGAUUGUAAGGCUCUUUUACUCGUGAAGAUAAUGACGGUAGCGAUAGAAACAGCUCCGGCUAAAUUCGUGCCAGCCGCCGCCGUAA
rnacentral:rRNA from 1 species